rnacentral:sRNA from 1 species
ACCAGCUUGCGAUGGCU